GAUGAACGCUGGCGGCGUGCCUAAUACAUGCAAGUCGAGCGAACAGACGAGGAGCUUGCUCCUCUGACGUUAGCGGCGGACGGGUGAGUAACACGUGGAUAACCUACCUAUAAGACUGGGAUAACUUCGGGAAACCGGAGCUAAUACCGGAUAACAUGUUGAACCGCAUGGUUCAACAGUGAAAGACGGUCUUGCUGUCACUUAUAGAUGGAUCCGCGCCGCAUUAGCUAGUUGGUAAGGUAACGGCUUACCAAGGCAACGAUGCGUAGCCGACCUGAGAGGGUGAUCGGCCACACUGGAACUGAGACACGGUCCAGACUCCUACGGGAGGCAGCAGUGGGGAAUCUUCCGCAAUGGGCGAAAGCCUGACGGAGCAACGCCGCGUGAGUGAAGAAGGUCUUCGGAUCGUAAAACUCUGUUAUUAGGGAAGAACAAAUGUGUAAGUAACUAUGCACGUCUUGACGGUACCUAAUCAGAAAGCCACGGCUAACUACGUG
rnacentral:rRNA from 1 species